AACGCACGAGACCUGCGGACCUGCGGAAGGAUCAUUAAAGAAUUAGCUUUGCUCCCUUCGGGGAGCGGGCUCUAUUCCCACAACCGUGUAUACUACCUUUGUUGCUUUGGCAGGCCGCCUUUUGGCGUCGGCUUCGGCUGGUUGUGCCUGCCAGAGGACCACAAACUCAGUUUUCUGUGUUGUCCGAGUAAUAUAAUAAAUAUUUAAAACUUUCAACAAUGGAUCUCUAGAUCGGAAGAG
rnacentral:misc_RNA from 1 species